AUAAUAAAUACUGACUUGGAUACUAUGCAGCGACAACUUAAUAUAAGUAUCAACUUACUGAACUUACUGAAUUCUUUCAGUUAUAGUUAUUUCAGUUAUGUGAAACAUAAAUCCUGUUAUAAGGUGGCGAUGGCACUAGAACUGCAAAGACAUAAAAUAUUCACAUUGCAAUUUGCGUGUGGCGAAUUUUGUACGAACUAGAAAACAAACACGAAGAUUCGCGCCUGUUUAAUAUUUUUUUGCAACCAUACCUACCAUUUCAGUCUUCUUGAUGGUCAUUCCUGACUUCUUACUUAAAAUUCUAGAUUCCUGUACUUCGUUAUGAGAACAGCCGUAAUAGCUACUCGGAAUCAGUUUAAAUUUGGAAUGUAUUGCUCGAGAAUACGGAAUUUCUGGUGACUGUUACGGCUGUUAUGUUUAGUGGAGUGAUUCUUACACCAUUUUAAUAAUUUUUGUGAGGUCGCUGUAGGUUCACAAAGGUUUUCAUAUGGGUUAAGGGGUACUCUCAAAUAAUCAUUAACAAACGUUGUGUUCUAUUGCAGUGGUCACGCUCUCCAGUGAGCAUCGCCGGCGGCGCCUCCGACGGGCCUCCAGAAGGCUUCCGCCGGGCGGCGCGGGGUUCCUUCUCCGCUAUCUUAGGGCUGCUUACUGCCACAGCCAACCUGGACCACCAGGACCACUCGGACGGGGCGACCACUCCGCGCGACAAGUCCGGCGGACACUCGCCCGCUGCCAGCGAAGGUGUAGAAGGCGAGGGCGAGCGGUGAUGGUCGGCGACAGUGCUGUUGGACCGCCUGGCGCAGCGCGGCUUCGCGGCCGACACGCGCCUCGCCCUGCCGCCCACAGGUUGCGCGCGCUACCGCGAGCUGUGCUACCGGGCGUCGCACGCGCACCUGCCGGACGAGGCCGCGCCGGCGCCGUGCGAGUGCAUCAACUGCCGCCGUCGCCCGUGAGACUUCCCUCAUCCCGUCACUGUCGCCGGCCCCGUGCCGUCCGUCCUGUGGCGCGGAUGACAUUAUUUGACUGCGAACGUAUCAACUGCCGCCGUCACACGCGACUCCACGUCACCGUCGCCGGACCCGUGCCGUCCGUCCUGUGGCGCGGAUGACAUUAUUUGACUGCGAACGUAUCAACUGCCGCCGUCACACGCGACUCCACGUCACCGUCGCCGGACCCGUGCCGUCCGUCCUGUGGCGCGGAUGACAUUAUUUGACUGCGAACGUAUCAACUGCCGCCGUCACACGCGACUCCACGUCACCGUCGCCGGACCCGUGCCGUCCGUCCUGUGGCGCGGAUGACAUUAUUUGACUGCGAACGUAUCAACUGCCGCCGUCACACGCGACUCCACGUCACCGUCGCCGGACCCGUGCCGUCCGUCCUGUGGCGCAGAUGACAUAAUUGACAGCAUUUUGACUGUGAACGUACGAACUAUGUACGAACGUAUCAAAUGCUGCAGUCACCCAUGAGACUCCACGUAGCUGACGCCGGACCCGUGCCGUCCCUCUUCUCUCAAAAGUUUGCUUUCAUUUAAUCAUCUCGUUUUGCUUUAUACCUCUAAGCGUGUUCACAAAACGCAAUACAACAACCAAGAAAACAAUACAACAACGUCAACAACCAACUUGGUAUGUAGUCUCGUCUCUACGCCAAGAGUAUGAAGAGCAAAUUGUAGAGUCAGACCAAGAUAAGCUGGCAGCGAUUUUGAUAGCCCAGUGUAAUUGUUAUUUUAAACGUUUAACUUCUGGUUUGCAAUAUCCGCCAAUUUUUCAGAUCCGGAUAUUUCGGAUAUUAAAAUUUUACGGAUUCGGAUAUCCGGAUAAUACGGAUCCAACAUAUAAUCUAGACUGCUAGAGUGAAUUGAAUAGCAUUCGAUUUUAGUUUGAUAUAUCAUAAUCAUAGUUUUUUAUUUGCUAAUUAACGUUUGACUAUCAA